CCUACGGGUGGCAGCAGUGAGGAAUAUUGGUCAAUGGGCGCGAGCCUGAACCAGCCAAGUCGCGUGAGGGAAGACGGUCCUAUGGAUUGUACACCUCUUUUGUCGGGGAGCAAAAGACGCCACGCGUGGCGUUCCGAGAGUACCCGAAGAAAAAGCAUCGGCUAACUCCGUGCCAGCAGCGGCGGUAAUACGGAGGAUGCGAGCGUUAUCCGGAUUUAGUGGGUGAAAAGGGUGAGCAGGCGGAAGAUCAAGUCAGAGGUAAAAUUGAGAGGCUCAACCUCUUCGAACCGUUGAAACUGGUUUUCUUGAGUGCGCGAGAAGUAUGCGGAAUGCGUUGUGUAGCGGU
rnacentral:rRNA from 1 species